rnacentral:tRNA from 1 species
GGCUGGGUGGUGUAGUUGGUUAUCACAUCUGUCUAACAGUCGGAGCUAAUAACUCUACUGUGGCGCACAGAAGGUCCCGAGUUCAAGUCUCGGCCGAGUCA